UACGGGGGGUGCAAACGUUGCUCGGAAUUAUUGGGCGUAAAGCGCACGUGAGCGGCUCGUUAAGUCGGAUGUGAAAUCCCUCGGCUCAACCGAGGAAGUGCAUCCGAAACUGGCGAGCUUGAGUAUGGAAGAGGGUCUCGGAAUUCCCGGUGUAGAGGUGAAAUUCGUAGAUAUCGGGAGGAACACCAGUGGCGAAGGCGGAGACCUGGGCCAAUACUGACGCUGAGGUGCGAAAGCGUGGGGAGCAAACAGG
rnacentral:rRNA from 1 species